GCCACCUUAGCUCAGCUGGUAGAGCUCCCGCCUUGUAAGCGGACGGUCAAGGGUUCGAGUCCCUUAGGUGGCUCCG
rnacentral:tRNA from 2 species